rnacentral:rRNA from 1 species
UAGAGUUUGAUCAUGGCUCAGAACGAACGCUGGCGGCAGGCCUAACACAUGCAAGUCGAACGCCCCGCAAGGGGAGUGGCAGACGGGUGAGUAACACGUGGGAACCUUCCCUAUAGUACGGAAUAGCCCAGGGAAACUUGGAGUAAUACCGUAUACGCCCGAAAGGGGAAAGAAUUUCGCUAUAGGAUGGGCCCGCGUAGGAUUAGCUAGUUGGUGAGGUAAUGGCUCACCAAGGCGACGAUCCUUAGCUGGUUUGAGAGAACGACCAGCCACACUGGGACUGAGACACGGCCCAGACUCCUACGGGAGGCAGCAGUGGGGAAUAUUGGACAAUGGGCGCAAGCCUGAUCCAGCCAUGCCGCGUGAGUGAUGAAGGCCCUAGGGUUGUAAAGCUCUUUUGUGCGGGAAGAUAAUGACGGUACCGCAAGAAUAAGCCCCGGCUAACUUCGUGCCAGCAGCCGCGGUA